rfam:Prevotella sp. CAG:1031 genomic scaffold, scf119
GGAGCUCGGCCUAUCGUGUCGCCGACCGACGCAUGAGCGGCCGGAGGAAAGUCCGGGCAACGAAGAGCACCAUGUUUCCUAACGGGAAGCUGUCGGUAACGGCAGAGCAAGUGUGACAGAAAAUAACCGCCGGCCAAGCCGGUAAGGGUGAAAAGGCGAGGUAAGAGCUCACCGGACCGUAUGGUGACAUACGGCGCCGCACAUCUCAUGGGUUGCAAAGCCAAGUAUACCGGCAUCUGUAAGGAUUGCUCGUCCUUUGCCGGGGGGUAGGCUGCUUGUCGGAUAUUCGCCGACAGAACGGUGUGGCAACAUACCGUCGAGAUAAAUGACACGAACAUGGCGAUGGCCGAUACCAUGCUCUUCAUUAGAGAAUCCGGUCGAAGUGUCGCCAUGACAUAACCCGGCUUAUGACCGCAGCUCCAGUC